GAUCAUGGCUCAGGAUGAACGCUAGCUACAGGCUUAACACAUGCAAGUCGAGGGGCAGCAUGUUGGUUGCUUGCAACCGAUGAUGGCGACCGGCGCACGGGUGAGUAACGCGUAUCCAACCUACCCUUGUCCAUCGGAUAACCCGUCGAAAGGCGGCCUAACACGAUAUGCGGUUCACAGCAGGCACUACGUGACGAAAUAGUGAGGAGAGGAUGGGAGUGCGU
rnacentral:rRNA from 1 species